rnacentral:rRNA from 1 species
GAUAAACGCUGGCGGCGUGCCUAAUACAUGCAAGUCGAACGAGGAAUCCUUGUAGUAAUACGGGGAUUUCUAGUGGCGAAUGGGUGAGUAACGCGUUGGUGACCUACCCCAAAGCGAGGAAUAACUCCGGGAAACUGGAGCUAAUACCCCAUGUGGUUACCAGGGUUAGAGGCCUGGCAAACUGAAGGAGCAAUCCACUUUGGGAGGGACCUGCGUCCCAUCAGCUAGUUGGUAGGGUAACGGCCUACCAAGGCGACGACGGGUAGGGGGCCUGAGAGGGUGGCCCCCCACACUGGCACUGAAACACGGGCCAGACACCUACGGGUGGCUG